CCGACUCACAAAGCUGAGGCUCGUUAAAAGCUGUAAGUUUUCUCUCGUUUGGAGAGUUUCUAUUUAGACACGCCCCCUCUCUCUCUCUGUCUGUCUCAGUCAGUUUGUGUCUCUCGUCCAGGAUGAAUGUGUUGCUCUCCGUCUCUCUCUGGCUUGCUCUGAUCAUGUCGUCCUGUUGUGGCAACAGUGAGAAGGCGGGCUCUCCCAAUACAAGAAUGUUUGACUCGGAGAAUAGCACAGACUAUGACUACGAUAACUACGAUAAUGAGCUCGGCCUCAUGAACGAGGCUUCAGGGAUUGGUCAGAUGAAACUGCUGCCUCUGCUGGGAUUGGCUGUCCUUCAAAUCUGGAACUGACUGUGGGCGGAGCAACGACAGAGAUCAUAGUGAUGAUAAGACGGUCAUCAGUGAAACACUGCGUGAAAAUGCAACAAAAAACGACAUUAUCUUGCUAUCUGGGAUGAAAACUGUAAUAAAACGUGGAGAAAAUAAAAGCUUUUGAUUUGUGAAGUGAUUGUUUGUGCGUUUUGGAUCAGCUCUGACCUGAAUUAUGUUAGCGUGCCUAACAAUUAUCAGCACUUACUUCUCAACUUCUUUUAAAAUAUUUUGCAUAACCAGGUGAAUGAAAGCUUGAUCGAGUGUCUUUCUGCUGUACAUCCUUCAGAUGUUAGACUUAGCAGUAAAAUUAAAGCGUUAUUUAAAAGGCCGUAAAACCACAGCCAGUCUUCUUUUCCUGCAGUGACAAACGAAGCAGAAAUGAAAGUUGUUGGAUGCGCCGUGCUGUUGGCCGUCAGAACUGAAAGGAACAAAAACACUGCCAGCUUAACUGUAGGAAAAAGGAAAGAGCAGCCUGACAGCUGUCAGUCUGUCCAGCCUCGUGUUAGGAAUCAUCAUUGCUCUUCACAGGUGAUAUUUUCUGAAAACUGAACUUCCUCCAGCCGUCAGAUGUUGUUGUUGUUUUUUACUUUAUGAAGCUAAUUUGUAACCAUGUUUUAUUGUUGUACAAAUCUGCUUCAUGGACACUUGUUACUGAAAUAUUUGUUUUAUUUUAUGAAGAAAAUACAAUUUUCUAUUAAAGUCGUGCCAUAAAUCAAACAUUUCUAACCAAGAAAAUAUAUUCACCUUUUAAUUAAUAAAAUAUAAGUACAGGGUAAGUGUCAGAGACCAACCAGAGGCCAGAACUCCACAAGCAAGAAGCUCUGUACAGAGUUAUGAGCAUCUAAGAGUAAGUGAGUAAAACACACCAGAGCCCCUGCAGCAGGCUCACCUCAGCACCUCAGAGACUCUGGAUGGUUCAAGCUCAGACAUGUUCAAAUAGUUUUGGUAAAUUGUCUGCAGAAAUUAUGUCACUCAGCAGGUUUACCGGUUUUGUUUUGUUUUUUAGAAACUCUGCAUAAGCAGGAGGAGAAGGUGGGUGCAGCCCCUCGGCUGGCUUCCAAGAAGACUUCUUUACUUAGAAGAAAGUGGACGUUUGAUUCAGUUCAGUCUUAUUCAUGUUGCUCCAAAUCACAGCAAUAACAGCCGCCUCAAAGUGCUUUACAUCAUAAGGUAAAGACAUCCCCCCGUCACCAUCUCUCUCUGCCUCGCUCUGAUCACGGCGUCCUGCUGUGGUGAGUUACUUUAUCCCAACAUGUUCUCACUCCCUAAGCGUAAUAUUUGACGCUGGGUGACAAAUCGUAACAUUUUACGCUUUUGCAGAAGGUCACCUUUCGCGUUCCUCAUGAACGCCCCGAGAGUGAGAACGGGCUGGUUUAUCCACCCUGGUUUUAUUUGUUGUUGUUAUGUGUGCGUGUGUGUGUUUAAGUCACAGCAUUAUUUUUCUGAUGUAAAUUAAAAAUCACUGAACUGUUACAAACAAAUUCCGCUCUUUUUAUGUUUAUUUCUUAAUCAUGAAAAUAAUUAGAAGAACAGUCCUGAUGUUGUGUGUGACACUUACACGAAGAGCAGAGUCAGUGACAGCCUGUUUCACUGUUACCGACGCUGCUUCAUUUACUCCAAUAACAUAAAAAUAAACACAUUAAACUUGCUCCAUAGAGCAAAGUCACACCUGGAAUUGUUCUGGGUCAGUUUCAACCCAGUAUUUUGAGUUCCUUAUGUUUUGGUUUAUUUUGCAUGUUGGAGUGUUUUGGGGUUGUCUGGUGUUUUGAUUAUUUGUGAUGUAUUAUAUUACUGUGAUUCUGGUUUAGGGUUUUUGUUCGCAGGUUUUGUGUGAGUUUAGUUCUGUGUCCUGUCUGCGUCCUCGUGUAGUGUUUUCUUGUUUCCUGUUUUAUUGUGAAGGUCUGCGUCUCAUGUGAGUGUGUUCAGUUUUACAACUUGUCUCAUCUUGUUGAUUACUCCCAGCUGUGUCCCCACCUGUGUGUGAUCUCCCUGUGUUUCUCUGUCUUUGUAGUUGCUGGUCUGUCUGUCCACCCACCACGUUUCAUUUGUGUGUUCCCUGCAGUCAUCGUCAUGUACCAUCGUCUUCCUUCCUUUAUGUCCAGGUGAAGCCGCUAUUC